AUGGGUCUAUAUGAUUCUCAUGUUAAUUGAUAAUAUCAUGAGAUCAUGUUAGACUCAUAU
rnacentral:pre_miRNA from 1 species